GAUGAAGACGUAGCGAAAUGCGAUAAGUAGUGUGAAUUGCAGAAUUCAGUGAAUCAUCGAAUCUUUGAACGCACAUUGCGCCCCUUGGUAUCCCGAGGGGCAUGCCUGUUCGAGCGUCAUUUCACCACUCAAGCCUGGCUUGGUGUUGGGCGACGUCCCCUUUAGGGACGCGCCUCGAAACGCUCGGCGGCGUGGCACCGGCUUUAAGCGUAGCAGAAUCUUUCGCUUUGGAAGUCGGGGCCCCGCCUGCCGGAAUACCUACUCGUAAGGUUGACCUCGGAUCAGGCAGGGAUACCCGCUGAACUUAAGCAUAUCAAUAAGCGGAGGA
rnacentral:misc_RNA from 1 species